GGGCUAAGGCACCAGCAAAAAAUGUCUUAUCGAGAAAAGCUCGUUCGUUCAAGUCAACAUGUUUACUCCUAUUCUCAGUAUUAGUUAUAGUUUCGACUUCUUAACGUGUUGGUUAAAUUUUAUUAAACGUUAAAAUACUCUUGUUAGAACGAUUAAAACGGUUAGUUAAAUGUAUGCGAAAUAAGUUAAUUAAUGAGAUAUUUCGGGGACUAAAGUGAAUUGUGUGAAAUGUUAAGUGUGUGUGAAAUAGGAUUGUACAAAGCAACGAUUUGUGACGAUUGAUGAAGAUGGGCACAAAAUUGGCCUCAUCCAGAUUAGUCCUUUUCCGGGAAAUUCGGAAUUCUGUGCAAGGAAUUGAAGGACCAUAUUCGCAAGAUCUACUGCAAAAUCUUCUAAAAAG